AUGCAUGUAACCCCAGCUACUCAGGAGGCUGAGACAGGAGAAUCACUUGAACCUAGAAGGCAGAGGUUCAAGAGAUUCUCCUGCCUCAGACUCCCAAGUAGCUGGGAUUACAGGCGCCUGCCACCAUGCCAGGAUAAUUUUUGUAUUUUAGGGAGAGACAGGGUUUCACUAUCUUGACCAGGAUGGUCUCGAACUCCUGACUUCAUGAUCUACCCACCUCAGCCUCCCAAAGUGCUGGGAUUAUAGGCGUGAGCCACCGUACCCGGCCUUUUUUUUUUUUUUUUUAGUGGAGUCUUGCUCUUUUACCCAGGCUGGAGUGCAGUGGUGCGAUUUUGGCUCACUGCAAACUCUGCCUCCCAGGUUCAAGAGGUUCUCCUGCCUCAGCCUCCCGAGUAGCUGGGAUUACAGGCACGUGACACCACACCCAGCUAGGUUUUGUUGUUAUUGUUUUUUUUUUAGGAGAAACAGGGUUUCACCAGGCUGGUCUCAAACUCCUGACCUCAAGUGAUCCACCCACCUCGGCCUCCAAAGUGCUGGUAUUACAGGUGUGAGCCACUAUCCCUGGCCUCAUAAGCCAAUAUUUAACUCUACUCUUGUAAUAGUCCCAGGAUAUAGGUAUCUGCAUUAGGUGAACAGACAAGCAUGACCGACAACAGUCUGGAACCUGUAUAGGUGGUUGAGGAGAUGUCUGGCUUUGCACAUGAUAAAGUCCAAAACUACAUUGCACAAGAUAAUUAUUUUACACAAGAUAAUCUUUGCACAAGGUAAUUAUUUUGCACAAGAUUAUCUUUGCACAUGAUAAUUACUCCAAACUUCAGCUUCUUUGUUUAUAAUACAAGGGCAAUAAUAUCUACCUUUUAAUGUUGCUAUGAUAAUUAAAGGUAAUAAUGACAUAGAAAACAUAAAUACAGAAAGCAGGCAUUUGAAUCCUUAGCUGUGUGGACUCUACCAUUUGCUCAGUCAUUCAACGACAUUUUACUAAGCAUCAGUUAUGCACCAUGCACAACUGGGCUGUGGGUCCCACUUCCCUAUCAAGGGAAGGGAAGCAAAUGCCACUGAAGGGAGCUGGUACCCACUGAACUAAAUUAAAAUCCUCCUUUGCACAUUCAGUCCUGGAAAUCAGGUUAAUUUCUGAAAAUGUUUUCAGUCUCCUUUGUGAGAAGUUAACAAAACCUCUGAGGACAAUUCCAACAGAUAGUAUCUGGUUUAAUUUAUCUUGUUGAACCAGCAAUUGUUAGACACACAUUAUACAGCAGAAAUUCAAGGAUAACUGCUUGGGUUCAGCUUUCAGCUGUGCCACUUAUUAGAUGAGUCAAUCCCUUAACUUUAUCAUACCUCAGCCUCCUUAUCUGUAAAAUGGGAAUGAUAAUGCCUCAGCCAGGCUCGGUGGCUCACGCCUAUAGUCUCAGCACUUUGGGAGGCCAAGGCGGGUGGAUCACGAGGUCAGGAAUUCAAGACCAGCCUGACCAAGAUGGUGAAACCCCAUCUCUACCAAAAAUACAAAAAAAUUAGCUGGGCACAGUGGCAAGCACCUGUAAUCUCAGCUACUCGGGAAGCUGAGGCCAGUGAAUCGUGUGAACUGGGGGUCAGGGGAAGGGGGACGGAGGUUGCAGUGAGCUGAGAUAGGACCACAGCACUCCAGCCUGGGCAACAGAGUGAGACUCCGUCUCAAAACAUAAUAGUAACAAUAAUGCCUCUUCAUAGAGUUGAUGUGAGUUUUAAAUGAAUUAAUAUGUGCUAACGUAGCUGUGACGGCCUGGUACAUGCUCAGUGUUAUACGAAUAUUAGCUAUUGUUAAAAUCUCCAUUAAUCAAUGACAUCUAAGAUUCUCCUAUUUCCGUUACAAACACAGGCCUGGUCCCUU
ensembl:lncRNA